rnacentral:lncRNA from 1 species
ACUUAGGGGCGCCGCCACGCAGCCUGCGGAGCGUUCGGGAGGCUGGCCCGGCUCAUCGGUGUCACGGCGAGGUCCGGAGCGGAGCCGCGGUCUCGGGUCCCAGCUCUGGGCGCCGGCCUGCUCCCCGCCGCCCCGCUGCCACAUCUGGCUGAGAUCCUCCCGGCGCGUGCAGGGACCGCUCCGGCGGCCAACAAAGGCCCGGGCGAGCCCUCGGCCUGCGCCUCGGCGCGCGACCCGACCACCCGGGGCUGCCCCAGCUCCCAGGCGCCUGCCUGCCUCGACCCGGCCCCUUCCCAGCGGCGCGCCCCGCUCCGGGCCGCCCAAACUGGGCGGCCUCCCCGGGGACAGGUCCCGGGCCCAGCCCCACAGGAGCUCCCGAGGCCCCGCGGACGGUCGCGACAGCCCCAACUUCCCGGAAAGAAGACCAAGAUGUAAGCACACCUGAGCAGAUCCUUUUCCAAGUAUCCUGAUGUCUCCAAGGGCUGUUCAGAUUCCAAAGAGAACUAUCUACAAGUUAAUCUCUGUUACUGGAGUCAUUCAUUCUCCGUAGUAAUCUGCUCCACAGAAUUCCUCUUCUCUUCCCUCCCAUAACCUGUUUUACCAGGAUCCAAGCCUCCAUUCUUUCUGUAACCUCAUUGGGAAGUUGGUUCUUCAUUUGGAAGGCUCCCAUGUGUACAUGUUA